UACAGGGGGUGCAAACGUUGCUCGGAAUCAUUGGGCGUAAAGCGCACGUAGGCGGUCUGCUAUGUCGGAUGUGAAAGCCCUUGGCUCAACUGAGGAAGUGCAUCCGAAACUGGCAGGCUAGAGUACGAAAGAGGAUCGCGGAAUUCCCGGUGUAGAGGUGAAAUUCGUAGAUAUCGGGAGGAACACCGGUGGCGAAGGCGGCGAUCUGGGUCGAUACUGACGCUGAGGUGCGAAAGCGUGGGGAGCAAACAGG
rnacentral:rRNA from 1 species